UGGUCGAGUGAUCCUGCGCCGAAGAUUUCCGGGGCUAAAACUUACUACCGAAGCUACGGCAUCAGUAAUGAUGGGUAGGGGAGCUUCCCAUACGGGUUGAAGCAUGACCGUAAGGACAUGUGGACAGCAUGGGAGUGAGAAUGUUGGCAUGAGUAGCGAGAUGUGGGUGAGAAUCCCACAGGCCGUAAACCCAAGGUUUCCAGGGGAAGGUUCGUCCGCCCUGGGUUAGUCGGGACCUAAGCUGAGGCCGAAAGGCGUAGGUGAUGGACAACAGGUUGAUAUUCCUGUACUACCGAUAACCGUUUGAGGA
rnacentral:rRNA from 1 species